GAUGAACGCUGGCGGCGUGCUUAACACAUGCAAGUUGAGCGAAGCGCUUACGACAGCACCUUCGGGGGAAGAUGUAAGGGACUGAGCGGCGGACGGGUGAGUAACGCGUGGGUAACCUGCCUCAUACAGGGGGAUAACAGUUGGAAACGGCUGCUAAUACCGCAUAAGCGCACAGUAUCGCAUGAUACGGUGUGAAAAACUCCGGUGGUAUGAGAUGGACCCGCGUCUGAUUAGCUAGUUGGAGGGGUGACGGCCCACCAAGGCGACGAUCAGUAGCCGGAAGGAGAGGGUGAAAGGGCACAGUGGGACUGAGACACGGACGAGACGCCUACGGGAGGAAGGAGUGGGGAAGAAUGAACAAUGGGGGAAAAACGGAUGCAGCGACGCAGAGUGAAGGAAGAAGUAGAUCGGUAGGUAAACUGCUAUCAGCAGGGAAGAAAAUGACGGGACCUGACUAAGAAGACAAGGCUAACUACGUG
rnacentral:rRNA from 1 species